rnacentral:lncRNA from 1 species
GCACUAGGAGAAUAAAAGUUAUUGUAAAUACCCAAUAUAUGAUCAUCAUAAAUUCUUUCCAUCAACCUUUAUUUUGAAUCGUGGAAUAUUAAUCAAUCAAGAGCAAAAUUUAGAGAGGGUAUAGUUAGAAUACUCUGAUAGUUUGGAGAAAUGAACAAUAAAGUUUUCACAAAAAAACAAAGAAGAAUCAUCUGAUCUUCUCCAAGUGUGAUAACAGAUAAACAACUUCAAUUUUUCCAAUCAUGUCAUACACAUUUGAAUAUAUGCCAUCAAUGAGUUGUGAAUGCCCAAAAAUAAAUUAUGAUCUCUUUUUUGGAUUUGUUGUUGAAGCACAAGAUUCAGAUAGGAGAUGAUUUUUCUAUAUUUGAUCCUUUUCUUAUGGAAUUCCCCUCGUUUCUUUUUCUAUAGUUGAGAUAAGAUGUCAUAUAAUGCUUUUUCUUUGUAAAGAGCUCCAAGGAAUUAUUUGGAAAUGUUAUCAGUUCAUCUAGGAGGCUUCAGAUGAACAAAUAAGUAUUCCAUUACAAACAAUGAGUUAUAACCAAUUCCUUAGUGGAAACUAAUGACCUUGGACGUACAGUCAACAUAGGUACAACUUAAAUGAUUUUAAAAUUCUUUAUAAGAUUCAAUUUACACUUAUAUCACCUUAAAUUUUCAACCAUUAGAAAGUGUUGUAGAAGUAUUUACAAAUUGUGUAAUGAGCUCAAAAGAUCAACAAUGAUCUCAAUAUAGCAAGUUUAAUAUAAAAUAAGAGUUGCUUGGAGAAUUUUUAG